GGACCAUAGCUCAAUGCUGGAGUAUCUGCUUUGCAUGCAGAAGGUCCCAGGCUCAAUCCCUGGCAUCUCCA
rnacentral:tRNA from 1 species